rnacentral:lncRNA from 1 species
UUAAUUUGGUGUCUUGAUUCAUUGGAACUAGGCUUGCUAGUUAGUGAAUUAUAUCAUUGAUUGUGCAAUUAGUGUAGCAACUUGUAUCUCAAUUUAUCACUUAUCCAUUAGCUUAACGCAUAUCCGGUUUUCCAAUAACGGUUCGUUUUAGACUAAAUUUUCCUCGGCCGCUUCCGCACCUAAAACAAUUUUUAAAACCAAUUUUUCUUUUAU